CCUACGGGUGGCAGCAGUGGGGAAUAUUGCACAAUGGGGGAAACCCUGAUGCAGCGACGCCGCGUGAGUGAAGAAGUAACUCGUUAUGUUAAGCUUUAUCAGCAGGGAAGAAAAUGAAGGUACCUGAGUAAGAAGCUCCGGCUAACUACGGGCCAGCAGCCGCGGCAAUACGUAGGGGGCCAGCGUUAUCCGGAUUUACUGGGUGUUAAGGGAGCGUAGACGGGAUUGCGAGUCUGGAGUGAAAGGCGGGGGCUCAACCCCCGGACUGCUCUGGAAACUGUACGGCUGGAGUGCAGGAGAGGUAAGUGGAAUUCGUGGUGUAGCGGUGAAAUGCGUAGAUAUUAGGAGGAACACCAGUGGCGAAGGCAGCUUACUGGACUGUAACUGACGUUGAGGCUCGAAAGCGUGGGGAGCAAACAGGAUUAGAUACCCCUGUAGUC
rnacentral:rRNA from 1 species